rnacentral:lncRNA from 1 species
GAAGCAGAGGGGACGAUGAGGUGCGGAGGCGUUGGCAGUUGACUUUUGCUGAUGGAGCCUCUCUGAAGGGCAAAUUCAAAGUACAGCUGGGUGCUGCAGCACUGGAGUGCGAACUUGUGGCUGUGGUUAUGAAGGAGCCUCGUCAGCUAUGCCUUUAGCCCCUGGUGAAGCAGUGCCAGUCACACUUUGCCAGUCAAACGGAGAGGCAGCAGUAGUAAGACCAGACCAAAUCAAACCAAACCAAGCAAACCACGGGGAAUGGAGACACAGAGUUUCAUUCUGUCACCCAGGCUGGAGUGCAGAUGCAGUGGCAUGAUGAUAGUGCACUACAACUUGGAACUCCUGGGCUCAAGCCAUCUUCCCUCCACUGCCUCCAAGUAGCUGGGGACUACAGAUUAUUGCCUGCUCCUCCAAGCCCUUCACUGUAGAAUGGAAGCCUGUGAUUUUCCUGGCAUCAUGCAUGACUGAGAAGGUCAGUGUGGCUAAUUCUGAGCUUCAACAUCAGGAAACCCGUAGUUCUUCACACUGAGCCGCCUCCUGCAGCACAGUCAUCCUUGGUAAUAAAGCUGAUAUUUUAAUCAAUA